rnacentral:lncRNA from 1 species
AAAAUCAUGAGGUCUGCGGGCCAAAACGGAUAAUAUCUCAUAAGGGGUUGGUGUGAAUCAUGACAAUUAGUAUUAGAGCGGAUUAUGAGUACUAACAAUGUGCCACUGAGGACAGUGGACCCUUGUUGAAGUAAGAAAGGAUGUCACGAUCCUCGCGUGGAUGCGAAUCCUAUAUCAUAGAUACAAUGCUCCCAAGUGAGCCAUAAAGUCUCACAUCGAAUUGAAACUCCCAACGAGGAGUAAGGGUGGAUGUCAUGGUCUUAGAGAGAGGAGCUAUGAAUCCCACAUUGGCUACGUAUAAAAAUGAUAUUGGAAAUAUAAGGGUUUACCCUACCUUUAACUUGUGAGGUGCCUUUUGUGGUAUAAAACCGUGAAGCUAGCGGGCCAAAGCGAACAAUACCUCACAAGGGUUGGUGUGGACUGAGACAAUUGGUAUCAGAGCGAACUUUAGGUACUAGCAAUGUACCACUGAGGACAGUGAACCCUUGUUAAAGUAAAAAAGGAUAUCAUAGUCCUUAUGUGGAUGUGAAUUUGACAUCAUAAAGAUAAUGCUCUUAGCGUGUGAGCUAGAAAGUCUCAUAUUGAAGAGAAAUUUUCAGCAAAAAGUAAGAGUGGAUGUCAUGGUCUUAGAGAGGGAAGCCAUGAAUCCCACAUUGACUAUGUAUUAAAAUGAUACUUCGAAUAUAAAGGUUCACACUAUAUUUAACCUAUG